rnacentral:rRNA from 1 species
UACGUAGGGUGCAAGCGUUGUCCGGAAUUAUUGGGCGUAAAGAGCUCGUAGGCGGUCUGUCGCGUCGAUCGUGAAAACUUGGGGCUUAACCCUGAGCUUGCGGUCGGAUACGGGCAUGACUGGAGUUCGGCAGGGGAGACUGGAAUUCCUGGUGUAGCGGUGAAAAUGCGCAGAUAUCAGGAGGAACACCGGUGGCGAAGGCGGGUCUCUGGACAGUUCCUGACACUGAGGCACGAAGGCCAGGGGAGCAAAACGGG